CUCUCUGUCCCUCCCCUGUUUACGCUCUGUCUCUCUCUUUCAAAAAUAAAUAAACAUUAAAAAAAUUAUUUAAAAAGUUGGGGGGCUAGAACUGUAACAUCCCUAUUUCUAUGUUUAUAAACAGUCCUGGGUAGGACACUAUGAGAGCUAAGAUGUAUGGGUAAGGAACACAUAAUCUUAUCAGGAGUAGGGAUUUCUCUUCUUUCUUACUGCAGGAAUCAAUAAAAUUCUUGAUGUUCAAU